rnacentral:lncRNA from 1 species
CAAAGGGUGGAGAGCUCCUUUUUGCUUUAAUUGUAGCCAGGUUUGAUUGCAGUGGGAGCUGCACAUGUGUAAGCACAGCACUAUUUCUGCAGGGAGGUGGCUGAGACUUGGUUUGGAGUUUUGAGGAAAGAGAAGGGAAUGGAGUGGAGCUCAGCUUAGCUCAGUUCAUGGGUGUCUUGGGCUUUCUGCAGGAUGGGAUGCACCCCUCUUUCAGAGGGGUCUGCAGGAGGGCACUCUGUAGGACCCCACUUAACAUUUCUAUCCACCGGGCUCUGAACUGUUGAGAAUACAGCAGUGAUCCCAGUGCUUUCGAAUUGAGGCUGCUGGAUGCUCUAGAUCUGCUUACAUCAGACCCCGUCUGCCAGGACCACACGCUGGUCCUGACCAACAGUGAGAGCAGAGGCACGAAGGUAAGAAACACAGCUGCCACCUAACGCUCUGCCUUGCUGUUCAAGUAGUAUCUCUGGCACUUAUGAUGAUUGAUCUCUGGAGGCGUACGUCCCUGGAAGAGGGUCCCCUGCCUAUCUAGCCAUCAGCGUCAGGCCCUGCCACUUUCUUUCUCCCCAGCUCAGGCAGUUUGAACCACCUGUGCCCUUGUCAGUUCUGGAGCUGCAGGGCUCCCCACGCAAAAUUCGCUCUAUGGUAUAACUCUCCAUGCUGUAGCGAAAGCCUAGCCGUGGUGACAGCUGCACAGGUGUGAACUUACUCCUCUCUCCCAUGACAAUAGACCAUCCGUCUGCAUUGCAGAACCUAAAUCUGUAGGCUUCCCCUUUGCCUACCAAAUUUGGCCAGCCGUGUAUGCAAUGAGUCACUGCUACUUGGGUGUUCCCACAGAAAGCUGUGGGAUCAGGCUUGUGCGGGAGUACAGCUGCAACUGAGGAAGAGUGGCAGAAUCUGGCCCACAGAAGCUGACAUAUGGUAAGGCAAUAUAUGUUUCCUAGCAUGCGGAUCCAAAAAUUAUUCCUACAAGGUGCAGAGUUACAUUGAUUGUAUUACUGGAUUAUCAAAUGAUUAAAGCCAUUAACAAUCCACUCUUGAGCAAUCAACGUAACAAUGUUUAGUUGCCUUGCAGUAACAAUUAAAAGAUGAAGCAAUUUGCAAUAAUUAGGUAGUAUCUGGAAAAAGUAGUCCUCAUUAAGAGAAGUUAAAAGGACUUUUUUAUAUGGUUGAGAUGAACCUAGCAGGCCAAUUCCCCCUUUGUCACCCUCUCUUCUUUCCUCCUGUGUUUAAGGAAAACAAUCUGUUCUUGUUUAGCCUUUCGUUUUGGAAAAGAUC